rnacentral:misc_RNA from 1 species
AACAGUCCUGCGGGUCUAUUUCAUCUCCUAAAAUUGAAGCGCCCUCAGGAUGAAUAGUCCUUAGAAACUUUUCUAGGAGGGAGUUUGUUUCCUGGAAAGCAUGCUGAGCAAGGAAAGCAGCCCAAAGAAACAGAGAUUUGCGUAGGGUCUAGCAUGCCCAGUGCUAGAGGGUCGUGCAGCAUCAAGAUGGGGCAUGCCAAAAUACACUAACAAUAUGGGCUUAACAAUAUUGCCUCUUCCAUGAGAUUAACAAUAUAGGCUACCAUCGUUUUCUUCUAUGUGGCUAGUAAUGCCUCCACAACCCUUGCAGAGGUGACAUCCCAACCCUCAUCUCUACAACUG